ensembl:snoRNA SNORD73 Small nucleolar RNA SNORD73
AACACAUGAUGACAACAGUUUCGGUCCCAAAUGAAUAGAAAUUGAUUACUGUUAUGAGAUCUUCUGAUGUU